AGCCCCAGGAAAUUUUGAAUGUUCUUUCCAGUUUGGUCAGCAUGGUGAGCUCAGCAGCACAGGUGACCAUGAAGUCCCCCUGGAACUGCAAACAGGUUCCAGCAUGAACUGAACAGGACUGUGCAGGCUGAACUCUGAUCAAAAAGAAGAAAUGGUAAUAUAAAUAUCAAAAUCGCACAGGGCAUGGUGGAGUGAGGCUACACUAGGGACACCCAACAGUAGGUCAGAGCUCCAUACAUGCUGCUUCUGUGAUCAGCUGCAUGCCAUUCUGGGGGGAACCCUACCACUGUCCAUGGACACCUGCAAGGGGGGGGAGUCUCACGCAAUACGGAGGAUGAUUUUAUGGAUGAGGAAGAGGAGGAGAAUCCAUUCUCCCCAGGAGCCAGGAUUUUUUCAUCACCCUGGAGCUGAUACCCUUCCAAGGCAAUUUCCCGGACACUGAAGCUGGAGAAGACACCUCUGCAGGUGCAAAUGUUUCCCCUAUCUUCUCUUUGGGCACAGCUGAAUGGAUGGAGGCAGACAGAGGCCAGGAAGGCAUUAAGCGAGCGUGAUCAGAAUCCAGCCACUCCACUCCAGCGGAUGGCCCAAGCAACAGAAGGCUAUCAUUUAACCAUCUUUGAUUUGUAGUGUGGCUACAAUAAGCAAUGUAGCCUUGUUCUUUCCACCCAGGCUACUUUGUGUCUGAUCUGCCUUUUAAAAAAAAUAAAUAAAUAAAGAAUGCAUGGA